GAUGAACGCUGGCGGCGUGCCUAAUACAUGCAAGUCGAGCGAACGGACGAGAAGCUUGCUUCUCUGAUGUUAGCGGCGGACGGGUGAGUAACACGUGGAUAACCUACCUAUAAGACUGGGAUAACUUCGGGAAACCGGAGCUAAUACCGGAUAAUAUUUUGAACCGCAUGGUUCAAAAGUGAAAGACGGUCUUGCUGUCACUUAUAGAUGGAUCCGCGCUGCAUUAGCUAGUUGGUAAGGUAACGGCUUACCAAGGCAACGAUGCAUAGCCGACCUGAGAGGGUGAUCGGCAACACUGGAACUGAGACAGGGCCCAGACCCCAAGGGGAGGCAGCGGUAGGGAAUUUCCCGAAAGGGGCGAAAGCUUGACGAAGCAACGCCGGGGGGGGGAUGAAGGUCUCCGAAUCGUAAAACUUUGUUAUUAGGGAAGAACAUAUGUGUAGUAACUGUGCACAUCUUGACGGUACCUAAUCAGAAAGCCACGGCUAACUACGUG
rnacentral:rRNA from 1 species